GCCGUUGUAGCUCAACUGGUAGAGCAACUGACUUGUAAUCAGUAGGUUGGGGGUUCAAGUCCUCUCGACGGCAC
rnacentral:tRNA from 1 species